UUUAGCAUCAAACAAACAUGGCGAUCGUCCGAAAGAGACUCUGGCGAUACGGAAAUCAGAGAUAACAAAGAACAGGAGGAAUACGAGAAUGCAAACCAUGAAGAAUUAAACGUUGAAAUGUCGAGAAAUGAUCUCGAGUCAUCUGCAGUACGACCAAAAAUACGCUCCGGAAACAACGACGAAAAUAUGCAGAAUUCGGCUGCAACUAGGGCAUUCGAACAGAAGAGAAAAUUACACUACAACGAGUAUUAUGUUGCAAAGCUGGUGAAAAAUCUUUUCGGUGAUCAGGAUAUAUCAAUAGAAUUUAUAUAAAUUUCAGCAAUUAUUUUACCGUUAAAAUUCGGACUUAAAUAAAUUCGGUUGUGAAGUAAUUUUACAAUUAU